GUUAAGGAUACUAAUUAUAGUAAAAUUACAUUGAAACUUGUAUAGUCAAUGUUUGUAAAGUAUAAAAAGUGUCAUUUCCAAUACAAAAAUUACUUUUUUUGUAUCCUUAACUAGUGCCCCGGGGGUACUAGUUAGCAUGACCCUUAAUUUAAUUUAUGUAUUUAAAAAAAGAAAAUGCUAAACAGUGCCCCGGGCACUAGUUAAGGAUAUAAAUAUGAAAAUUUCAUCUCGUAAAUUGUGCAUUCAAUAUUUUAAUAUGUAAAAAGUUAUUCUCUCUCAUCAUUAACUUUUUCAUUUGUUUCUUUU
rnacentral:lncRNA from 1 species